UCCGGUUUGGCACCGGCAGUCUCCCUAGAGUUCCCGGCAUGAUCCGCUGGCAACUAAGAACAGGGGUUGCGCUCGUCGCGGGACUUAGCCCAACAUCUCACGACACGAGCUGACGACGGCCAUGCAGCACCUGUGCAUGGAUCCCGAAGGAGGCUCCUGGUUUCUCAGGAGUUUCCCAUGCAUGUCAAGCCUAGGUAAGGUUCUUCGCGUUGCAUCGAAUUAAGCCACAUACUCCACCGCUUGUGCAGGCCCCCGUCAAUUUCUUUGAGUUUUAAUCUUGCGACCGUACUUCCCAGGCGGCAUAUUUAUCGCGUUAGCUUCGCCACAAAAGGGGUCGAUUCCUUUUACAGCAAAUAUGCACCGUUUACGGCUAGGACUAC
rnacentral:misc_RNA from 1 species